UACAGAGGGGGCAAGCGUUGUUCGGAAUUACUGGGCGUAAAGGGCGCGUAGGCGGCCUGCUAAGUCGAACGUGAAAUCCCCGGGCUCAACCCGGGAACUGCGUCCGAUACUGGCAGGCUUGAAUCCGGGAGAGGGAUGUGGAAUUCCAGGUGUAGCGGUGAAAUGCGUAGAUAUCAGGAGGAACACCAAUGGCGAAGGCAGCUCGCUGGGACGGUACUGACGCUGAGACGCGAAAGCGUGGGGAGCAAACAGG
rnacentral:rRNA from 1 species